UUUCCGUAGGUGAACCUGCGGAAGGAUCAUUAUUGAAUAAACAGUGUGGGUUGUUGCUGGCCUUCUGGCAUGUGCACGCCUGCCAUACGUUUCAUUCCCUUCUUUCCACCUGUGCACUAUGUGUAGGCUAUGUAUGCUGUAUUGUCAGGCCCUUCAUAAGGCUUGGUUUAGAGAGGAUGCUUGUCUUUAUGAGACAGGCUCAUCUUGGGCGUACAGGUCUAUGUUUUACACCAACACCAAAUGAAUGUCUUAGAAUGUAUUUUUUCAGGCUCUUGCUAGCCUUUAAACCAUAUACAACUUUCAACAACGGAUCUCUUGGCUCUC
rnacentral:misc_RNA from 1 species